rnacentral:rRNA from 1 species
GACGAACGCUGGCGGCGUGCUUAACACAUGCAAGUCGAACGAAGUGGCGAACGGGUGAGUAUUACGGGGGUAACCUGCCCUCCUUUUUGGGAUAAUCCUUGGAAUCGGGGUCUACUACCGAAUAGAGGGGGAUGGGCUGGCGGCCUAUCAGCUUGUUGGUGGGGUGAUGGCCUACCAAGGCGGUGACGGGUAGCGGGCCUGAGAGGGGGACCGGCCACAUUGGGACGGAGCUACGUCCCAGCGUAGUACGGGGGGCAGCAGUGGGGGCUAUUGCACAAUGGGCGAAAGACUGAUGCAGCGAGGCCGCGUGGGGGAUGAAGGCUUUCGGGUUGUAAACCUCUUUCGCUAGCGAACCGGUAGGUGGAGAAGAAGCGCCGGCUAACUACGUGCCAGCAGCCGCGGUAAUUC